UGCAGGUUGGCUUACCUCUUCAUAAUCUUGGAGUGGAAGAUUUCACCAAUCACAUAUUUGAGAGUUCCUCCUUCAAGGCUGCUUCCACUUUACUUUCCCCGGGAUAAACAUGAGGAGCAAGUUGCUUUGUCAAAACUUCCUGCAGAUGUGGGGAUGAAAAUGGUGAGACCAUCAUAGAUGAUAUAUACUAGGAGUCCAGAGAGUCAGGAUGCAUCAUCAAUCCAAGCAUAUAUAAAUUUUGGUUUACAUGUCCAGAUAAUAUAUUUAACAGUUUCUAUUACAAGUUUACAAGCCUUUGAGAAUGCGUAUGAGCAUACUAAGAUUCAUUUGCUUGCAAUUUAGUUGUAUGCGCUUGAGUGUUUUUGUUGUAUUUGACUGAAUAGAACAUCACACAUUUUUCAAUCUUACUUCUGGUAAAAAUUUCUUGAUC